rnacentral:rRNA from 1 species
ACGCUGGCGGCGUGCUUAACACAUGCAAGUCGAACGAGAGCGUAGAGAAAGCUUGCUUUUUCUACAAUCUAGUGGCAAACGGGUGAGUAACGCGUAAACAACCUGCCCUACGGAUGGGGACAACAGCUGGAAACGGCUGCUAAUACCGAAUACGUUCCGGAAGUCGCAAGACUAUCGGAAGAAAGGAUGGCCUCUAUUUAUAAGCUAUCGCCGGAGGAGGGGUUUGCGUCUGAUUAGCUAGUUGGAGGGGUAACGGCCCACCAAGGCGACGAUCAGUAGCCGGUCUGAGAGGAUGAACGGCCACAUUGGAACUGAGACACGGUCCGGACUCCUACGGGAGGCAGCAGUGGGGAAUCUUCCGCAAUGGGCGAAAGCCUGACGGAGCAACGCCGCGUGAGUGAAGACGGCCUUCGGGUUGUAAAGCUCUGUUAUACGGGACGAAUAAUCUUGUGGUUAAUACCCAUGAGAAGUGACGGUACCGUAAGAGAAAGCCACGGCUAACUACGUGCCAGCAGCCGCGGUAAUACGUAGGUGGCAAGCGUUGUCCGGAAUUAUUGGGCGUAAAGGGCGCGCAGGCGGCUUCUUAAGUCUGUCUUAAAAGUGCGGGGCUUAACCCCGUGAUGGGAUGGAAACUGGGAAGCUCAGAGUAUCGGAGAGGAAAGCGGAAUUCCUAGUGUAGCGGUGAAAUGCGUAGAUAUUAGGAGGAACACCAGUGGCGAAAGCGGCUUUCUGGACGAAAACUGACGCUGAGGCGCGAAAGCCAGGGGAGCGAACGGGAUUAGAUACCCCGGUAGUCCUGGCCGUAAACGAUGGGUACUAGGUGUAGGAGGUAUCGACCCCUCCUGUGCCGGAGUUAACGCAAUAAGUACCCCGCCUGGGGAGUACGGCCGCAAGGCUGAAACUCAAAGGAAUUGACGGGGGCCCGC